GUUCUCGAAUGGAAUAUUUUGUUAUGUACCCGAUCAACAACGGAUUCAUUUGGGAUACCUUUGGGACCCGUCUUGAAACACGGACCAAGGAGUCUAUCUAGUAUGCAAGUAAAUGGGAUAUUGAAACCUAUUUGCGUAAAAAACUUAACUGUUAUGGGAUUACGAGUUUCGUUCAUUUAUUUGAAUGUGCUCCUCCAUCCCGGGGUAUUUUCAUAACAUAUAUGGGUAACUAUAUAUAGAAAAUAUACCAUGAGCAUACUGGAUAUGACCCGAAAGAUGGUGAACUAUGCCUGAUCAGGUUGAAGUCAGGGGAAACCCUGAUGGAGGACCGAAGCAAUUCUGACGUGCAAAUCGAUUGUCAGAAUUGGGCA
rnacentral:rRNA from 1 species